UAUUGGUCAAUGGGCGGGAGCCUGAACCAGCCAAGUCGCGUGAGGGAAGACGGUCCUCCGGAUUGUAAACCUCUUUUGCCGGGGAGCAACGGGGUCCUUGCGAGGGCCCAAUGAGAGUACCCGGAGAAAGAGCAUCGGCUAACUCCGUGCCAGCAGCCGCGGUAAUACGGAGGAUGCGCGCGUUAUCCGGAUUGAUUGGGUUUAAAGGGUGCGUAGGCGGGCUGUUAAGUCAGCGGUCAAAUGUCGGGGCUCAACCCCGACCUGCCGUUGAAACUGGCGGCCUCGAGUGGGCGAGAAGUAUGCGGAAUGCGUGGUGUAGCGGUGAAAUGCAUAGACAUCACGCAGAACUCCGAUUGCGAAGGCAGCAUACCGGCGCCCUACUGACGCUGAGGCACGAAAGCGUGAGUAUCGAACAGG
rnacentral:rRNA from 1 species